AUACUUACCUGGCAGGGGAGAUACCAUGAUCACAAAGGUGGUUUUCCUGGGGCUAGGCUUAUCCAUUUGCACUGCGGAUGUGCUGACUCCUGAGAUUUCCCCAAAUGUAGGAAACUCGACUUCAUAAUUUGUGGUAGUGGGGGACUGUGUUCGCGCUUUCCCCUG
ensembl:snRNA U1 U1 spliceosomal RNA